rnacentral:rRNA from 2 species
GGAGGAAAGUAGGGGAUCGCAAGACCUUGCGCUUUUUGAGCGGCCGAUGCCUGAUUAGCUAGUUGGUAAGGUAAUGGCUUACCAAGGCAACGAUCAGUAGCUGGUCUGAGAGGACGACCAGCCACACUGGGACUGAGACACGGCCCAGACUCCUACGGGAGGCAGCAGUGGGGAAUUUUGGACAAUGGGCGAAAGCCUGAUCCAGCCAUGCCGCGUGAGUGAAGAAGGCCUUCGGGUUGUAAAGCUCUUUCGGUCGGGAAGAAAUAGUUGUGGCUAAUAUCCACAAUGAAUGACGGUACCGACAUAAGAAGCACCGGCUAACUACGUGCCAGCAGCCGCGGUAAUACGUAGGGUGCAAGCGUUAAUCGGAAUUAUUGGGCGUAAAGGGUGCGCAGGCGGUUGUAUAAGUCAGAUGUGAAAUCCCUGGGCUUAACCUAGGAAUUGCGUUUGAAACUACAAAGCUAG